AACACAACGGUUUUAACCAAUCUAGGGUUUCUCCUCACUCCACUAUCCCUUGGCAGCUAGGGUAAACUCUCUCCUCGAUGUGAUUUUUAUUAUUUUGAAAUGUUUUAUACUUCCAGUGAACUCUGAUAAUUUUUGCAGAAGAAAAACACAGCUGUUUUAUUUGCAAAAAGAAAAAGAAAAAAAAAUGUUGUUUUUGGCCAACAAUGCCUUAUCCUCACCGCAUAGUGGCACAAGACAGUGUCCAAUUUCUCCUCGAUCUCCAGACCACUCCUCUCCCCAACACGCCACUGGCGGAGCUUGCCACCUCCGGUCCCCAUAGCCUCCCUUCCCUCACGGCGUCGCCCACAUCCUCCUCUCCCCGCCACGAAGUCGCCGGCCUCCUUCUCUGCCCGGAACCUCUCGCGCCGUCCCAUCGGCACCGAGCCUGCCCGGCCGCCGGUAUGGUCGGUCCAGAAGGCCUCGCCGCUCUGCGUACGAGCCGUCCGGCGGUGUGUAUGACUACAUCUGGCACAGCGGACGCGGCAAGGAGGAGCGACGGCGCCCUCGUCGUCUUGCCCGGUCUUGUACCGUAGCCGAGCCACUCCGAGCAUAAUCCACACCUUCACCUCAAGCUGCUGUACAUCAGAGGGCAAGAGCGAGAUAGAGAGAGAUUGUGUUGUGUAGUGCUUGCUCAUGGAGGUGGCGCUGUUUCUUAGAAGUCUUGCAAGCAGACCAUCUUAACGAGGUCAACAAUGGAAGCUGAACUCACAUCACUGGAUACAGCUACGGUCGAAGCAGAUUGGCUUCGUCGGCUCUUGAAUGACUUGCCGGUUGUUGAGCAACCUAUACCGGGUGUCCUUAUGAACUGCGACAAUCAAACUGUGAUCACGAAAGUGAGCAGCUCAAAGGAUAACAUGAAGUCAUCAAUACACGUUCAGAGAAGGUUAAAGUCUGUCAGAAAAAUGAGAAACUCCGGAAUUAUUGCACUGGAUUAUAUCCAAACGUCUAAAAAUCUGGCAGAUCCUUUUA